GUCUCAGGCCGUAUCAGCCUGAAGGCGCCCGAUCUCGUCUGAUCUCGGAAGCUAAGCAGGGUCGGGCCUGGUUAGGAUCUUGGAUGGGUGACCACCUGGGAAUCCCGGGUGCUCGAGGCU
rnacentral:rRNA from 1 species